rnacentral:rRNA from 1 species
CAUGGAGGGUGAGAAUCCCGUACGGCCAUCAUUGCUCGUGUACGAUACGUUUUCAAAGAGUCAAGUUGUUUGAGAUUGCAGCUUAAAAUGGGAGGUAAAUUUCUCCUAAGGCUAAAUAUUGGCGAGAGACCGAUAGCGAACAAGUACCGUGAGGGAAAGAUGAAAAGUACUUUGAAAAGAGAGUUAAAUAGUACGUGAAAUUGUUGAAAGGGAAACGAUUGAAGCCAGUCGUACUCAUGGGUAAUCAACCUUUCUGGCGCGAUUAUGUGGGCGUGUUGGAGCCUAAUCAGCCCUCGCGUUUUUAUAUUCGUUCCUCUUGGGUGUACUUGCCCGUGUGGUAGGUUAACAUCAAUUUUGGUCAUCAUAAAAUGACUGGAGGAAUGUAGCUUCGAUCUCGUAUUGAAGUGUUAUAGCCUUUGGUAGAUGCGAUGAUUGGGAUUGAGGAUUGCAACGGAUACCCUUCGGGGCUACCUGCCUGAUCUCUGAAAGUUGCUCUGGUGCCGAAAGCUUGCUUACGGUAUCAAAGUUGACGUUCAACAGGUUAGAACGGGAUAAAUUCGUUAAGGAUGUGACGUAAUG